CCUACGGGGGGCUGCAGUAAGGGAUAUUGGGCAAUGGGCGAAAGCCUGACCCAGCGACGCCGCGUGCGGGAGGAAGCCCUUCGGGGUGUAAACCGCUGUCAGGGGUAAGAAAGUCCGUUUCGGCGGAUUGAUCUAACCCAGAGGAAGUCACGGCUAACUCUGUGCCAGCAGCCGCGGUAAGACAGAGGUGGCUAGCGUUGUUCGGUAUCACUGGGCUUAAAGCGUGUGUAGGCGGAAGCGUAAGCAUUUUGUGAAAUCCCCCGGCUUAACCGGGGAAUCGCUUGAUGUACUGCGUUUCUUGAGGCAGGUAGGGGUGCGAGGAACUCUUGGUGGAGCGGUGGAAUGCGUAGAUAUCAAGAGGAACGCCGGUGGUGAAGACGUCGCACUGGGCCUGUCCUGACGCUGAGACACGAAAGCGUGGGGAGCGAACGGGCUUAGAUACCCUGGUAGUC
rnacentral:rRNA from 1 species